GUACGGGGGGGGCAAGCGUUGUUCGGAAUUACUGGGCGUAAAGGGCCAGUAGGCGGCCAACUAAGUCCGACGUGAAAUCCCAAGGCUUAACCUUGGAACUGCGUCGGAUACUGGAUGGCUUGAAUUCGGGAGAGGGAUGCAGAAUUCCAGGUGUAGCGGUGAAAUGCGUAGAUAUCUGGAGGAAUACCGGUGGCGAAGGCGGCAUCCUGGACUGGUCCUGACACUCAUGAGCGAAAGCGUGGGGAGCGAUCCGG
rnacentral:rRNA from 1 species